rnacentral:rRNA from 1 species
UACAGAGGUCUCAAGCGUUGUUCGGAUUCAUUGGGCGUAAAGGGCGCGUAGGCGGCGGGGUAAGUCGGGUGUGAAAUCUCAGAGCUCAACUCUGAAACUGCACUCGAUACUGCUCUGCUUGAGGACUGGAGAGGAGACUGGAAUUCACGGUGUAGCAGUGAAAUGCGUAGAUAUCGUGAGGAAGACCAGUGGCGAAGGCGGGUCGUCUGGACAGUUCCUGACGCUGAGGCGCGAAGGCCAGGGGAGCAAACGGG